rnacentral:siRNA from 1 species
CAUUGGUAUCAAAAGCUUUCAUGC